AACGAACACUCACGUUCACGUUCACGUGAUCACGUAUCACGUUUUGCGCUGUUUCGUAAAAUAGGUGACUCUAAUUUACGAAGUGUAGGGUCUACCAUUCGUUGUUUUCCACGCCGGUAAAACACGAAUGAUCACGUCUUCCAAAACGUGACGUGAGUGUUUAAUCAAUAUUUUUAUAAUUGCAAGCGCUUGUUACUAAGACUAGUCAUGACGUCACCGUAAUAUGUAUGAUUUGUGUGUGUACGGUACGAGUACGUAUCGCCUGCGCCUAGCUAGCUGACAACAAAGUCGGAGAAUGGAUUGAAACUAAAGAGCUGAAAGAAGUUAACAACAUGAAGCAGAAAGUCCCAUGCAGGAUGAUGCUUCUCUACAGUGGGUGAUGAAGGCAUGCUGGUUUACAAACUCAGGAGAGGAACAAAGAAGAGAUAUUGACGGGAUCAUAUCUAGAGAUGCGGGCCUACUACACUUCAUACGAGCAAGUGUGCUAAUAUAUAUGUAGGUACCCCAAUAAACUUUUGUGGAACACAUGUCAUGCAGAAAAUUAUAGAUCUGACGAAUAAUUGACUGAAUAUCACAAUUGUGAUUUAGAUUAAAAAUUAAAUGUCAAUAUAGAUGAAAUAUAAGUCUACGUUACGUGUGUUUCAGUAGCAUUAUUUCCAGUAUAUUCUCUGGUCCAAGUUGUUUGGUCAUUUUAUGUCCCAUACUUAAAGGUAAUACACAGUUUUAGUAUGGGGUCAUAA